rnacentral:rRNA from 1 species
CCUACGGGUGGCAGCAGUGGGGAAUAUUCGGCAAUGGAGGAAACUCUGACCCAGCAACGCCGCGUGAAUGAUGAAGGUCUUCGGAUUGUAAAGCUCUUUUCUAAGGGAAGAAGAAAGUGACGGUACCUUAGGACUCAGUCUCGGCUAACUACGUGCCAGCAGCCGCGGUAAUUAGUAGGCGGCAAGCGUUAUCCGGAAUGACUGGGUGUAAAGGGUGAGUAGGUGGUUUGACAAGUUGGUAGCGUACCUGCGGGGCUCAACCUCGGCACUACUACCAAAACUGUUGGACUUGAGUGCAGGAGGGGCAAAUGGAAUUCCUAGUGUAGCGGUGGAAUGCGUAGAUAUUAGGAGGAACACCAGUGGCGAAGGCGAUUUUCUGGACUGUAACUGACGCUGAGGCACGAAAGCGUGGGGAGCAAACAGGAUUAGAUACCCGUGUAGUC